GUAGCAAUUAAAAGUCCAUCACGUUGACAGUGCGGGCGACUUAAAUUUCAAAACAGCCCUGCAUCAAAACAAUAUACAAAGUAAUAGAAAGACGUCUCUGAUAUAUGCAUGAUUUUAUCGUGGACAUAAAUACUUGGCGUCUCUUGGAAUCUAAAUCAAAAAGCUUUUAACGAGGCAUGGCAAUCAAAUCAAGGUGCGCGACCAUUCUUGUGGUAUUUUUAAUAUGCUUCGCUACGACUUCGAUAAGCGUUGCAGGACAAGCACGUAUUGUAGGUGGAAAGGAGGCGCUUGCAAAUAGUGCACCCUUUAUUGUGUCGCUUCAAAAAUCUGAAAAGGGAAGCAGUGUUCAUUAUUGUGGAGGGACGAUACUCAAUGCUAAUUGGGUUGUGACCGCUGCUCAUUGCUUGUCCUCGAAGAGCCUCGUAGACAGUACGGUCUUGGUUGCUGGAAGCAUAUUAGUAGACGACGAGUCGAGUACCGUUCAAAAGCGCAAGAUUGACUACUACGUUGUGCAUGACCUAUUUGUGGGAGGUAUCGCUCCCUAUGACAUCGGUUUAGUUUAUACUAAGACAGCAUUUAAAUGGACGUCAGCCGUUCGAGCUGCCAGUCUUCCUCAAGCGGAAUCCAUUCCCAGUGGAAGUGCUUCGUUGUAUGGAUGGGGAAGUACAUCGACGACAUCAGUUGAUAAGUUUCCUUCUUCACUUCAGGUUGUAAAUUCGUUACCAAUUUGGACAUUAUCGCGAUGUGAAAAGGCACUUGGAUCACAUGGAACAAAUUUGCACGAAACAAACAUAUGCACCGGCGACAUGGACUCAGGAAUAAGCAUUUGUAGGUCUGAUUCUGGAGGUCCACUUAUGCAGGGAAAUACUUUAAUUGGUAUUGUUUCAUGGGCAAAAAUACCAUGUGGCCAGAAGAACUCUCCAUCUGUGUAUGUGCGUGUCUCUGCUUUUAAUUCGUGGAUAACAAAACAUGAAAAAGUACCGAAAUGAUUGUUUGUAUUGUUUAAACAAAUUACGAAUAAAAAUACGAUUUCGAAACUAAUCAAAAAAGGGAUAGUAAUGGUCAAGAAAUCGUCAAUAACUGAAGAAAGAAACACAUUCUGACAUUGGUGAUUUUUUGCUUUGUGCUUGUGGUUUACAAAAUUUAUAAGAACAUUAGUAAUACUUUCGGAUUAAAACUAGAUUAGAGUUAACAUGAUAAAUGCCUGCUUGACAUAUUUAUAAUAAAAU